GCCCAUGGUGAAUGGCGCGGUCCCGGUUAGGCUGGUUGUCAGUAAGGAGCCAGUUCCGCGCAAAACGGCAGCACGGCCCCGAAAAGGCGGCUAUACAUACCCAUCAGGUCGUGAGCAAGCAACACGGGACGGGAAUGAGCCGCUAUAUCGACGAUAUCCUGCAGCCAGGCGAGAAGAUUCUGUAUUCCACCACGAUUCACGGGAUCGUCU
rnacentral:misc_RNA from 1 species